UACGAAGGUCCCGAGCGUUGUUCGGAAUCACUGGGCGUAAAGGGAGCGUAGGCGGCGCGGUAAGUCAGAUGUGAAAUCCCGGGGCUCAACCCCGGAACUGCAUCCGAUACUGCCGUGCUAGAGGAUUGGAGAGGUAGCUGGAAUUCUUGGUGUAGCAGUGAAAUGCGUGGAUAUCAAGAGGAACACUCGUGGCGAAGGCGGUUCUCUGGGACGGUACUGACGCUGGAGACGCGAAAGCGUGGGGAGCGAACAGG
rnacentral:rRNA from 1 species